AUUGAACGCUGGCGGCAGGCCUAACACAUGCAAGUCGAGCGGAGCGGCGGACGGGUGAGUAAUGCCUAGGAAUCUGCCUGGUAGUGGGGGAUAACGUCCGGAAACGGGCGCUAAUACCGCAUACUAUCAGAUGAGCCUAGGUCGGAUUAGCUAGUUGGUGGGGUAAAGGCCUACCAAGGCGAAGAUCCGUAACUGGUCUGAGAGGAUGAGCAGUCACACUGGAACUGAGACACGGUCCAGACUCCUACGGGAGGCAGCAGUGGGGAAUAUUGGACAAUGGGCGAAAGCCUGAUCCAGCCAUGCCGCGUGUGUGAAGAAGGUCUUCGGAUUGUAAAGCACUUUUGGCAGAGAAGCGGUACCUGCAGAAUAAGCACCGGCUAACUACGUUCCAGCAGCCGCGGUAAUAC
rnacentral:rRNA from 1 species